AUUGAACGCUGGCGGCAUGCCUUACACAUGCAAGUCGAACGGUAACGCGGGGCAACCUGGCGACGAGUGGCGAACGGGUGAGUAAAGCAUCGGAACGUGCCCAGUAGUGGGGGAUAGCCCGGCGAAAGCCGGAUUAAUACCGCAUACGACCUAAGGGUGAAAGGGGGGGAUCGCAAGACCUCUCGCUAUUGGAGCGCCCGAUGUCAGAUUAGGUAGUUGGUGGGGUAAAGGCCCACCAAGCCGACGAUCUGUAGCUGGUCUGAGAGGACGACCAGCCACACUGGGACUGAGACACGGCCCAGACUCCUACGGGAGGCAGCAGUGGGGAAUUUUGGACAAUGGGCGCAAGCCUGAUCCAGCCAUGCCGCGUGCGGGAAGAAGGCCUUCGGGUUGUAAACCGCUUUUGUCAGGGAAGAAAUCCUUUGGGUUAAUACCUCGGGGGGAUGACGGUACCUGAAGAAUAAGCACCGGCUAACUACGUGCCAGCAGCCGCCGUAA
rnacentral:rRNA from 1 species